rnacentral:rRNA from 1 species
GUACUAAGGUAGCAUAAUCAUUAGUCUCUUAAUUAGAGAAUAGAAUGAAAGGAACAACUAAUUAUGACAUUUUCAUAAAUAUUAAUAAAUAAACUUACAUUCCAAUAAAAAGGUUGUAAUUAAUUAGAAAGACAACAAGACCCUAUUGAACUUUACACCUUUUGUUUUACUGGGAAAGUAUAAUAAUUAAAUCUUAUAUAAAUAUUCAUCUACCAAAUCGGAUUAACUCAAGCAUAGAAACAAGUUACCAUAGGGCUAACAGCAUUAUAUUUUUCAAGAGAUCUAAUCACAAAAAAUGUUUAUGACCUCGAUGUUGAAUUAAAAAACUUAACUAAGCAAACUUAGUUAAAGUGGGUCUGUUCGACCCUUGAUUAUUUACAUGAU